ACGGCUCAGUAACACGUGGACAACCUACCCUUAGGACGGGGAUAAACCCGGGAAACUGGGUAUAAUACCCGAUAGUCCUCGACUGCUGGAAUGCAUCGAGAACUAAAGCUCCGGCGCCUAAGGAUGGGUCUGCGGCCUAUCAGGUAGUAGUGGGUGUAGUGUACCUACUAGCCUACGACGGGUACGGGUUGUGAGAGCAAGAGCCCGGAGAUGGAUUCUGAGACACGAAUCCAGGCCCUACGGGGUGCAGCAGGCGCGAAAACUUUACAAUGCUGGAAACAGCGAUAAGGGGACCUCGAGUGCCAGGUUACAAAUCUGGCUGUCGUGAUGCCUAAAAAGCAUUGCAUAGCAAGGGCCGGGCAAGACCGGUGCCAGCCGCCGCGGUAACACCGGCGGCUCGAGUGGUAACCGUUAUUAUUGGGUCUAAAGGGUCUGUAGCCGGCCGGAUAAGUCUCUUGGGAAAUCCAGCAGCUCAACUGUUGGGCUUUCAGGAGAUACUGUCUGGCUCGAGGCCGGGAGAGGUGAGAGGUACUUCAGGGGUAGGGGUGAAAUCUUGUAAUCCUUGAAGGACCACCAGUGGCGAAGGCGUCUCACCAGAACGGACCUGACGGCAAGGGACGAAAGCUAGGGGCACGAACCGGAUUAGAUACCCGGGUAGUCCUAGCCGUAAACGAUACUCGCUAGGUGUCGGCCACGGUGCGACCGUUGUUGGUGCCGUAGGGAAGCCGUGAAGCGA
rnacentral:rRNA from 1 species